AAGGUUACAAUACAAAGACAGAAUUCUAAAUCCCAAGAACUUCUUCUUGUAUGAAACCUCCACUUGAUCUGAGCUCGAUCAAGAUUUUCCUGCAAGAAAUUGCAAACAAUUCACCGGUUUCACGACCUGUUUGCGAAAUCACCCGAUUUCCAAACGCAACGCUGCGGCUGAAUCUGUUCUGCAAACGUGACUAACAAACCCGCAAGAACACUCCAGUUCUUGAAGGAAAAACCAGUUGGUUUUUCCUCGAAACCCCCUUCAAUCUUCAACUCAGCUAGAUCCUCG
rnacentral:lncRNA from 1 species